GAAGAUGUUGGGAUGGCUGGUACAUCAGUGUCAUUUCCUCUUUCACCUUGCGUGUCUUCUACCUGUAAGCAGUAACAGGUGGGGAAAGGAGAAGAGACGAUAUCAAAUUGCUCCUGCUAACACUGACAGACUUCCCACUGUGCCAGGCAGUCCACCUCUGCCAUCAGCCCUCUCCAGCUGUCUCACCCAGAACGAACCUCUGUGAGCAGACGUUGCUAGCGAGAAGGCACCAACAACCCGCCAGGAAUAGCUGGUGCUACAUCAAGCACACAGAUAAGGAAGCAGAGCACGCUGCCGCCUUCUUCCUUCUCUUUGGAACAAGAAGCAGCAAUGAAAUCAAUGGCAAUGAAAUCAAAACCUCAAGUUCCUAGCUCUCGGGCUCCUACCACUUGGCUAGACUGCCCUGUGCACCGACAAAUCACUGAACACCAGCCGGCGAGGACCCCAGAGGAUCAUCUACACUGACAGAGCCAACCACGGCAAUCCAGCCGGUAUUUCCAUUACUGAGGUCUGUGACAAAUGAUGGUUUUGCCACAGAUGCAGAACCAGAAAACAUUACUAUAAAGAUUUAGUUUUUACUGCACCAGAUUUUCCUUCAGAAUGUUUUUUAAAGAGGCGUAUCAAUUGCUGUGUGUUUGGAGUCGAUUCUUCUAAAGCGCGCUCUAGAAAUUCUGCUGUUAUUUUAGAGGACAUAGAUUUGUUGGUUGUAAAGACAGCUCUCCAAACACAAGAAAAAACCCAAGCUCUCGAACACACAAGUAAUGCAGGGACAUCUGCUCAAAUCCAACGACAGCCUGAAGCAACAGUUCCAAGUGCCUCUUACCUCCACGGGAAACUACCGCUAAAGUUAGAUGACAGUCUGCCAACAUCUUUUUUACUACUGGUAUGCUAGAAAAACACAAUGCAAUUUGUCAUCAGCGCUGCAAAAGCAGAGAAGAGGGCAAAAUACAGUUAGAUACCAAGGGCUUCCUUCCCAAGAAGGGAAGCUCGACUACUUCCAGCAUCGCCAGUA